rnacentral:ncRNA from 1 species
GCAGAGGACUCAUAGCGAAAGUUGUGCCUUAUGCGUGGAAACUGCAUAAGGGAUGGUGUCAAAUUCGGAGAAAGCUAAAUGUAGCCAAAAGCUGCACAAGCUAACGCCGAGCCAAGCUUCAGCGUGAAAGUGCUGUUGAAGGUGUAGAGACUAGACGGCACCCAUCUAAGUCGAGCAAUCGAUAUGAUGAAGGCAUAGUCCAGGGAGUAGUGAAAGCUACAC